rnacentral:rRNA from 1 species
GACGGAGGGUGCUAGCGUUGUUCGGAAUGACUGGGCGUAAAGGGCGCGUAGGCGGCUCGUGAAGUCGGGUGUGAAAGCCCGGGGCUCAACCCCGGAACGGCAUCCGAUACUGGCGGGCUUGAGACCGGGAGAGGAGGGUGGAAUACCCAGUGUAGAGGUGAAAUUCGUAGAUAUUGGGUGGAACACCGGUGGCGAAAGCGGCUCUCUGGCCCGGAUCUGACGCUGAGGCGCGAAAGCGUGGGGAGCGAACCGG